UGCCCGGCGUCGUGAAAAGAUCUCCUAAUUUCGAAUUUUUCCGCCCAAAUUUUUGUUCCUUCCAGGGGAAAAGGGAAACGAGAAAGCAGUGGUUGUGCCUGGGAUCGCACAGAACGACGACAAGAAAGGUCGCCAGAGAGAGCCGCCAGCGAGAUGGACGCUAAAGCAGCUGCUUCCUCCCUGGAGUCGCUAAUGUCUUCCUUCACUGCUCGCAUCUCCGACCUCCAAGAACUCGUCAUCGCCAGAAACAUGAAUCCUGGGAAGGUGACACCAGAUCUAUCGAACAUCGACGCCGCGGUGAAGGCCAUGGAAUUCCAGGUGCAAGCCAUCAAGAAUCGCAUCAGAGAAGAGAAGGCGGUCAUUCCCAAAGCCAAGAAACUGGUCGAGCUCUCCCUAAGCCAGCAAAGGAAAUUGCAGCACAUGCUCGCGCUCUUACCACCUCGUCUCCCCGGCGCCACAGGAACUGGGUCGAAUGCAGGCGAAUAUGGUAUGCCCAAGGAAAAAUCCGUUAUUGACAUCGUUGGUAAGCCACUGAAGCUUGAGGAAGAGCCUCCUCCGCCGAAGGAGAAAAGGGGUCGUGGUCAAGCUCCUCGCUGGUAUAUCACUAAUGAUGAGCUUGACUCAUUGUCUAGUUACAUGAGAGGUCGACUCACCUUGGACAAGGUGAACUCUGCGAUAAAUGAGAUGGCCGUAUACGCUGAAGCCAAUAUGCAGCUAGUUGCUGCUCCGAGGAAGAAGCUGUCGGAAGAUACCCUGGAGAAAGCACUAGAACUAAGAGAUAUUGGAAUGUCAGAAGCUGUGAAGGGAAAGCAUUUCUUCCUGGAGACAGACAUGAAAGGUGCUGGUCUGAAGCUUGAUAACACUGGAAAAGCCAUACUGACGCUGAGGUUGGAACCUUGAUCUUCCACAUGAACUCAUGGCCGUACCAAUCUCUGGCAAUUCCCUUCGGGCCUUCUUGAGGCCCUCUUUUGUUCGUUGGCGACGUCAACGUUGCAAGGAGAAAUGCCUGGUCCUCCGGCAUCUGGGACGCAUACAGGAGGCAAGAAUUGGACAUAAUCGGGUUAUCAUCCUCACAAAGCCUUGACGAAGGGCCACACUAUGCAUGCAGAGAGCUUGUAUAUAUUACAUGGCUUGGCGUUUUCUUUUUGGCCAGAUAGCACAGUAACAGGGCAAUCAGUAAUGGCUUUCACUGUUAACUGUCUCAAAAUGUGGGAGAUAUUGGCACUGAACUUCUUGAAGUGCCUUCCGGUGAUUGAAAUCACACGUAUAGUCCAUCUUCGAUAACGUACCAGUGGUUGUAAGGCAAUUCAAGGUCACGUGCACUUGGAAAGUACGAGGUACUUUAUGAUCUAGAUUAGGUCCAGAUUAAAGCAACUUCUUUUACGGCUUUCAUUUUUCUAUUUUCAUUGCACUGGAUUAUUUAUGAAUUAUAAAGUUAUUUCGCUUGAA